GAUGAACGCUGGCGGCGUGCCUAAUACAUGCAAGUCGAGCGAACGGACGAGAAGCUUGCUUCUCUGAUGUUAGCGGCGGACGGGUGAGUAACACGUGGAUAACCUACCUAUAAGACUGGGAUAACUUCGGGAAACCGGAGCUAAUACCGGAUAAUAUUUUGAACCGCAUGGUUCAAAAGUGAAAGACGGUAUUGCUGUCACUUAUAGAUGGAUCCGCGCUGCAUUAGCUAGUUGGUAAGGUAACGGCUUACCAAGGCAACGAUGCAUAGCCGACCUGAGAGGGUGAUCGGCCACACUGGAACUGAAACACGGUCCAGACUCCUACGGGAGGCAGCAGUAGGGAAUCUUCCGCAAUGGGCGAAAGCCUGACGGAGCAACGCCGCGUGAGUGAUGAAGGUCUUCGGAUCGUAAAACUCUGUUAUUAGGGAAGAACAUAUGUGUAAGUAACUGUGCACAUCUUGACGGUACCUAAUCAGAAAGCCACGGCUAACUACGUG
rnacentral:rRNA from 1 species